rnacentral:tRNA from 1 species
GUAUAAGUAGCUUAGUUUUUAAAGCAUUCCAUUGAAAAUGGGAAAGAUGUUAUUUUAACCUGUAUCUG